GAUGAACGCUGGCGGCGUGCCUAACACAUGCAAGUCGAGCGAACCCUUCGGGGUGAGCGGCGGACGGGUGAGUAACGCGUGGGUAACCUGCCCUAUACACACGGAUAACGUACCGAAAGGUACGCUAAUACGGGAUAAAGUUGUUGGAUGGCAUCUUCUAACAAUCAAAGCUCCGGCGGUAUAGGAUGGACCCGCGUCUGAUUAGCUAGUUGGUGAGGUAAUGGCUCACCAAGGCGACGAUCAGUAGCCGACCUGAGAGGGUGAUCGGCCACACUGGAACUGAGACACGGUCCAGACUCCUACGGGAGGCAGCAGUGGGGAAUAUUGCACAAUGGGCGAAAGCCUGAUGCAGCAACGCCGCGUGAGCGAUGAAGGUCUUCGGAUUGUAAACCUCUUUCAGUAGGGACGAAGCGAAAGUGACGGUACCUAAAGAAGAAGCACCGGCUAACUACGUGCCAGCCGCCGCAGUAA
rnacentral:rRNA from 1 species